UACGUAGGGGUCGAGCGUUGUCCGGAGUUACUGGGCGUAAAGCGCGCGCAGGCGGCUAUCCAAGUCAGUGGUGAAAGCCCGGAGCUCAACUCCGGAACUGCCAUUGAAACUGUUUAGCUUGAGUAUGAGAGAGGUGAGUGGAAUUCCCAGUGUAGAGGUGAAAUUCGUAGAUAUUGGGAAGAACACCGGUGGCGAAGGCGGCUCACUGGCUCAUUACUGACGCUCAGGCGCGACAGCGUGGGGAUCAAACAGG
rnacentral:rRNA from 1 species